UGGAUACUCCCUCCGUCACAAUUUUUUUUGUCUUAGGUUUGUUUAGAAAUGAAUGUAUCUAAAUACUAAAACUUGACUAGAUACAUUUAUAUCUAGACAAAUUUAAGACAAGAAUUUUGGGACGGAGGGAGUAUUAA
rfam:Hordeum vulgare subsp. vulgare, WGS project CAJW01000000 data, contig: morex_contig_54709